rnacentral:rRNA from 1 species
GACGAACGCUGGCGGCGUGCUUAACACAUGCAAGUCGAACGGAAAGGCCCUGCUUUUGUGGGGUGCUCGAGUGGCGAACGGGUGAGUAACACGUGAGUAACCUGCCCUUGACUUUGGGAUAACUUCAGGAAACUGGGGCUAAUACCGGAUAGGAGCUCCUGCUGCAUGGUGGGGGUUGGAAAGUUUCGGCGGUUGGGGAUGGACUCGCGGCUUAUCAGCUUGUUGGUGGGGUAGUGGCUUACCAAGGCUUUGACGGGUAGCCGGCCUGAGAGGGUGACCGGCCACAUUGGGACUGAGAUACGGCCCAGACUCCAACGGGAGGCAGCAGUGGGGAAUAGUGCACAAUGGGCGGAAGCCUGAUGAAGCAAAGCCGCGUGCGGGAUGACGGCCUUCGGGUUGUAAACCGCUUUCGCCUGUGACGAAGCGUGAGUGACGGUAAUGGGUAAAGAAGCACCGGCUAACUACGUG